GUACUAGCUUCGGCGGUUCAUGGACUAAAAUUGAAACGAUACAGUGAAAAUUGGUAUGAUCUCUACUCAAGGGGGGGUACCCAAAAUCGUGAAGCCUUCCACAUUUUU